rnacentral:rRNA from 1 species
GUAGGUGGCAAGCGUUGUCCGGAAUUAUUGGGCGUAAAGCGCGCGCAGGCGGUUCUUUAAGUCUGAUGUGAAAGCCUACGGCUCAACCGUGGAGGGUCAUUGGAAACUGGAGAACUUGAGUACAGAAGAGGAAAGCGGAAUUCCACGUGUAGCGGUGAAAUGCGUAGAGAUGUGGAGGAACACCAGUGGCGAAGGCGACUUUCUGGUCUGUAACUGACGCUGAGGCGCGAAAGCGUGGGGAGCAAACAGGAUUAGAUACCCUGGUAGUCCACGCCGUAAACGAUGAGUGCUAAGUGUUAGGGGGUUUCCGCCCCCCUUAGUGCUGCAGCUAACGCAUUAAGCACUCCGCCUGGGAUACGGCCGCAAGGCUG